rnacentral:lncRNA from 1 species
UAUUGAUAAAAUUGGAAAUGCAGGAAUUUACUAUUAAACUCUUUUUGCAUUCAGGAUGAUUUUAGAGCCCAGGAGAGAUACCUAGAAUUUUUUAUGUUUUUGUUAAGUGCAGUAAUGUCUUAUGUAAACUAGAUUAACUGAAAUUACAGGAGCAUUAAGAUAGAAAGUAGAUAUGCCCAAACAAAAAUGUUAAUGGAAUCAAAAUUGGAGUGACAAAUCAUUUACAAGGAGAUGAGGGGUGAAAACCGUUAAUGCAUAUAAAAUUUGUAGCUUUUUUUAUUGUGUUUUAAAUUUUUAUUAAAUUUUUACCUAAUAUGAAAACUAAGGUAUUUAAAGAUAUCUGUGUACUCAGAUUCAUCUUCAAGUUGACUUUUUAAGCUAAACAUAUUUAUUGUCUAACCUUUCAAAAUGACUGUCUUUUUCUUAGAAGGUCAUAAAAAUGAAAAGUUGAUAUAUAUCAAAAGCUAAUAAAGAUAAUUAAAAGCCUACAAUCCAGAAUAUAAGCCACCUCACUUGGAACUAAGACUUUGAUAAAGUCUUAACCUACUUGAUGAAGAGGUCUUUUGAAAGUUGUACUGCAAGGGAUGCAAUGCUGUCUGUAGAUUAACGCUUUUACAAAGGCAUGUAUUUCAAUACCACCACCGCCUCCCCUCCUAAGGUGAGAACUGACUAUUCCAUGUGUACCUAGACCAUGUGGAGAAAGGACUGAGACUGAAAACAGAAAACAGACAUUGUCUGUAUAGAGCAGAGUGCCUGACAACAGCUCACUCUAGCAAAGGGCAACAAAUGCCACACCAGAUGAUCUCUCAUCACAAAACUUUACAUCUGACUUACAUGCCUGGUCUGAUGACUUCUUUUUAUGACUCCUAAAUUGUGG